rnacentral:tRNA from 1 species
GCCUCCGUAGCUCAGCUGGCAGAGCAACCGCCUUGUAAGCGGUAGGUCGUCGGUUCGAAUCCGACCGGAGGCU